rnacentral:rRNA from 1 species
GAUGAACGCUAGCGAUAGGCUUAACACAUGCAAGUCGAGGGGCAGCACAAGGUAGCUUGCUAUCUGGGUGGCGACCGGCGCACGGGUGCGUAACGCGUAUGCAACUUGCCCUAUACAGGAGGAUAACCCGUCGAAAGACGGACUAAUACUGCGUAUGCUCACAACUUGGCAUCAAGUGGUGAGGAAAGAAAUUCGGUAUAGGAUAGGCAUGCGUCCCAUUAGCUUGUUGGUGAGGUAACGGCUCACCAAGGCAACGAUGGGUAGGGGAACUGAGAGGUUUAUCCCCCACACUGGUACUGAGACACGGACCAGACUCCUACGGGAGGCAGCAGUGAGGAAUAUUGAUCAAUGGGCGCGAGUCUGAACCAGCCAAGUCGCGUGAAGGAUGACUGUCUUAUGGAUUGUAAACUUCUUUUAUACGGGAAUAACAAGAGUCACGUGUGACUCCCUGCAUGUACCGUAUGAAUAAGCAUCGGCUAACUCCGUG